rfam:Prevotella sp. CAG:487 genomic scaffold, scf659
ACAGUGCUCCGGUCUGUCGCCGGCAUCAACUCGAUGCGGGAGGAAAGUCCGGACAGUGUAGGGCAUUCCACUUCUGAAAAUAGAAGCUGUUGGCAACAGCAGGGUAAGGCAGAAGAAAAUAACCGCCUGACAGAUGAUUAAUUAUCAUAAGGCAAGGGUGAGAAGGUAGUGUAAGAGACUACCAGCCGAUGGGUGACUAUCGGGCUGUGCCUCCUGGAAACUGCAAGUUCGCGUAUACCGUCGUUUGAAGAUUGCCCGUCUGACAAAGUUAUUUUGGCGACGGAGGGUAGAACGCUUGAUCCAUGAGGCGACUUAUGGACUAGAUAAAUGACAGAUGCCGUUUUUACGAACGGAACAGAACCCGGCUUACAGGAGCACUGUUUUC